GGCAACAUAUAUUGGACAGAUCAUGGUUUCAAUUUAAUUGAAGUUGCAAGACUCAAUGGCUCUUUCCGUUAUGUUAUUAUUUCCCAAGGCCUGGAUCAACCAAGAUCUAUAGCUGUGCACCCAGAAAAAGGCUUCUUGUUCUGGACUGAAUGGGGACAGAUGCCCUGCAUCGGAAAGGCUCACCUAGAUGGUUCUGAGAAGGUCAUGAUUGUAAGCAUGGGAAUUACAUGGCCCAAUGGCAUCUCCAUUGACUAUGAGGAAAAUAAAUUAUAUUGGUGUGAUGCUCGCACGGACAAGAUAGAAAGAAUUGACCUUGACACUGGCGGGGAAGGGGGGGGGG